UACGUAGGGAGCAAGCGUUGUUCGGAUUUACUGGGCGUAAAGCGCGUGUAGGCGGCUAAGUAAGUCGGGCGUGAAAUCCCACGGCUCAACCGUGGAAGUGCACUCGAAACUGCAUAGCUAGAGUCCUGGAGAGGAAGGUGGAAUGCUUGGUGUAGAGGUGAAAUUCGUAGAUAUCAAGCGGAACACCGGUGGCGAAGGCGGCCUUCUGGACAGUGACUGACGCUGAGACGCGAAAGCGUGGGGAGCAAACAGG
rnacentral:rRNA from 1 species